GAUGAGCGCUGGCGGCGUGCCUAAUACAUGCAAGUAGAACGCUGAAGCUUGGUGCUUGCACCGAGCGGAUGAGUUGCGAACGGGUGAGUAACGCGUAGGUAACCUGCCUCUUAGCGGGGGAUAACUAUUGGAAACGAUAGCUAAUACCGCAUAAAAGUCGAUAUCGCAUGAUAUUGAUUUGAAAGGUGCAAAUGCAUCACUAAGAGAUGGACCUGCGUUGUAUUAGCUAGUUGGUGAGGUAACGGCUCACCAAGGCGACGAUACAUAGCCGACCUGAGAGGGUGAUCGGCCACACUGGGACUGAGACACGGCCCAGACUCCUACGGGAGGCAGCAGUAGGGAAUCUUCGGCAAUGGGGGCAACCCUGACCGAGCAACGCCGCGGGAGUGAAGAAGGUUUUCGGAUCGUAAAGCUCUGUUGUAAGAGAAGAACGAGUGUGAGAGUGGAAAGUUCACACUGUGACGGUAACUUACCAGAAAGGGACGGCUAACUACGUG
rnacentral:rRNA from 1 species